rnacentral:lncRNA from 1 species
CGUUUUUGUUUUUUAAUUUAAUUCUUAUACAUAGAUUUCACAUAUAUAAAAGGAAUAGAAUUGUUUGAAAAUAAUUAAAAAAUAAUAUUUUAGUGCACCUAAACAACAACGAAACAGCAGGGAGUCGAUUUAAUCAACUGAUUCAAUUCAGCGACAGCUGUGGAGAUUCGAUUCUCUGAAACGAUUUUUUUGACUCAGCUGAUUCCAUGACUCGUUCUACUGAAUCAACAGCUCGGUUUCAUUCAUUAUUCAUUCAGAUGAUUCAUGAUACAACUUUCGAUUCGCACUGUGCGAUUCAGAGUCGACUCCGCAGUCUAAACAAUUGAUUCCUUCGCGAAUCGCAAUUCCGAGCGAUUCAAAGGAAUCGAUUCGUUUCUGCGGUCAACGGCAGCGUUAAUAACGGUGGGAACGGCAGCUGGGUUACUAUAACACAAUAUAACAACAGUAUAUAACAUUAAUCCGAGCAGCGUGUGUUAGUUUAGGAGAUAUAUGGAAAGUGUUGGAGCUGAUAUAAAGUUUAUCCAGCUGAAGGAGGAGAAGAACAGUAAAGUUUCUGACCUUGUCUCCUUUAGUGGAGCCUCUCCGGUAGUUUCCCGCCCCCGCUGAGGAGUUCAUCCCUCCGCCGGAGUCUCACAGGCUCUCCAGAUUCUACCAGUGAGGUGUGGAGCUACUUUGAGCUGGAUAACGGUGUAAGAAGCGAUUUAACUGCAGGGGCAAGUGGAUGCCCCGAAGCGCCCGUUGUAAAGAGCGCUGGGCAAAAAAAAAAAAAAGCACAAAAUUACUGGAUCUCAGAAAGCUGCAGGAGAGCGGAGGUGCGCUUUUCAACAAAGCGGAGAAUCGGCAAUCGCUUUCUUCAUCCAGGCCAGGGACGAGCAGACGCUGGGGGUUCGGGGCUCUCAGAUCGGCGGCUGCUGCUGCUGUUUGCAGAUGGAGGAUGUUAUUUUCGGUGGAGCACAAUGCCUUCAUCUCUGGAGUUCAUCUCUCAGAAACACGCCAGAGAAUCUGCUGCUGCUGCUUUCCUUCGAAAACAACAGCAUUAAAAAGCUAACGUUAGAAAAACGCAGGGCUAGCAUGUUAGCUAGCUAUAUUUGGAAAGCUUUAAUUACACUCAGUAAUGGUGGAGUGGGAGCGAACAUCAUUUAUUAUGCUUUAAAAAAAUCUGUGGUUGGAUCUGAAACUUAAACCAGCAGUCUUUAAGGUUUUUUAAUAUUUUUUGUAUUUAAAAGAUGGAAAAAUAUGCUAAUUAAUGGUAUCAGUGUGUUGGCACGACCAGCAUGACCUGUAGUGAUGGCAUAGUUACUUGUAAAGGU